UACGGGGGGGGCAAGCGUUGUUCGGAAUUACUGGGCGUAAAGGGUUUGUAGGUGGCCCGCUAAGUCACACGUGAAAUCCCUCAGCUUAACUGGGGAACUGCGUGUGAGACUGGCAGGCUCGAGGGCAGGAGAGGAACGCGGAAUUCCAGGUGUAGCGGUGAAAUGCGUAGAUAUCUGGAGGAACACCGGUGGCGAAGGCGGCAUCCUGGACCGGUAUUGACGCUGAUGCGCGAAAGCCAGGGGAGCAAACGGG
rnacentral:rRNA from 1 species